rnacentral:ncRNA from 1 species
UUUAUUAAAUUUUUAUCCUAGAUUAAACUUUAACUUUUAUUUUUUGUGCAUGGAAUAAAAUAUAAACCGUAAAAACCAGUACCCAAAUUUUUUAAAAUUUAAAUUCUUUAAAAAGAAUUAAAAUAUUAGUUAAUUAUGUGCCAGCAACUGCGGUCACACAUAAAAUAAAAAAGUUUAUCGGAAUUUGUAGUUAGAAAAAUGAAAGAAUAAAAUUUUUUAAUAUUUGGGUCAUAUCUUAAUUAAAAAAACUUAAUUCUUAAAAUUUUUGAGUCUAUAAAAACUUUUAUAAAAGAAAAGGAUUUGAUACCCUAUUAUAGAGUAUAAAAAAAUUAUCCAGAGUAUUACUAGAACUCUAUAAACUCAAAGGAAAUGGCUGUAUUACCAAGUCUUAGGGAUACUUGAUUGUUUAAAUUAUGUAAAUACCCAAAGACCUUACUUUUUAUUUAAUUAAACCUCUAUAUCUCCGUUUAAAAAUGUUAACAAAAGAUUUCAUUGUAAUUUUCUAAAAUUAUAAAAUUAUAAUAUAAAUUUUAUUAAUUUUAUAAAAAUAAUUCAGGUCAAGGCAGAGUUUAAAAAGAACAAUUGAGUAUCAUUGUUGUUAAAGGAAUCCAAAUAUUAUUAAAAUAAUAAAAAAAGAGAACUUAAAAGUAAGUAUUUAAUAUAAAAAAAUACUGAAAUACUCAAGGUUAUAAGUACAAAUCGCCCGUCACUCUCGACCAAAUUUGAGAUAAGUCGUAACAAAGUAAGUGUAUCGGAAGAUGCCCUUAGAAAAAUAAUUUAAUUAUAAAAUUAUUUAUCAA